rnacentral:rRNA from 1 species
GACGAACGCUGGCGGCGUGCUUAACACAUGCAAGUCGAGCGGUAAGGCCCUUUCGGGGGUACGACGAGCGGCGAACGGGUGAGUAACACGUGGGUGACCUGCCCUCAGCUCUGGGAGUAAGCCUGGGAAACCGGGGUACGUAAUACCGGAUAUGACUCCAUGACGCAUGUUGUGGGGUGGAAAGCCUUGUGCGGCUGAGGAUGGGCCCGCGGCCUAUCAGCUUGUUGGUGGGGUGGAUGGCCUACCAAGGCGACGACGGGUAGCCGGCCUGAGAGGGCGACCGG